UCAGGAUGAACGCUGGCGGCGUGCUUAACACAUGCAAGUCGAACGGUGAAGCCAAGCUUGCUUGGUGGAUCAGUGGCGAACGGGUGAGUAACACGUGAGCAACCUGCCCUGGACUCUGGGAUAAGCGCUGGAAACGGUGUCUAAUACUGGAUAUGAGCUCUCACUGCAUGGUGGGGGUUGGAAAGAUUUUUCGGUCUGGGAUGGGCUCGCGGCCUAUCAGCUUGUUGGUGAGGUAAUGGCUCACCAAGGCGUCGACGGGUAGCCGGCCUGAGAGGGUGACCGGCCACACUGGGACUGAGACACGGCCCAGACUCCUACGGGAGGCAGCAGUGGGGAAUAUUGCACAAUGGGCGGAAGCCUGAUGCAGCAACGCCGCGUGAGGGAUGACGGCCUUCGGGUUGUAAACCUCUUUUAGCAAGGAAGAAGCGAAAGUGACGGUAC
rnacentral:rRNA from 1 species